AGAGUUUGAUCAUGGCUCAGGACGAACGCUGGCGGCGUGCCUAACACAUGCAAGUCGAACGAGAUCCAUUCGGUAGCAAUACCGGAGAAGAUCUAGUGGCGAACGGGUGAGUAGCACGUGAGCAACCUGCCCCGAAGACCGGGACAACACCGGGAAACCGGUGCUAAUACCGGAUACCCCCACCGGGCUGCAUGACCUGG
rnacentral:rRNA from 1 species